rnacentral:rRNA from 1 species
CCUACAAGUCCUUUACUGACGCUAAAGCUCGAAGGUGCGGGUAUCGAACAGGAUUAGAUACCCUGGUAGUCCGCACGGUAAACGAUGGAUGCCCGCUGUUUGCGAUAUACUGUGAGCGGCCAAGCGAAAGCGUUAAGCAUCCCACCUGGGGAGUACGCCGGCAACGGUGAAACUCAAAGGAAUUGACGGGGGCCCGCACAAGCGGAGGAACAUGUGGUUUAAUUCGAUGAUACGCGAGGAACCUUACCCGGGCUUGAACUGCAGCAGAACGAUUGAGAGAUCAUGAGGUCCUUCGGGACUGCUGUGGAGGUGCUGCAUGGUUGUCGUCAGCUCGUGCCGUGAGGUGUCGGCUUAAGUGCCAUAACGAGCGCAACCCCUCUCUUCAGUUGCCAUCAGGUAGAGCUGGGCACUCUGGAGACACUGCCACCGUAAGGUGUGAGGAAGGUGGGGAUGACGUCAAAUCAGCACGGCCCUUACGUCCGGGGCUACACACGUGUUACAAUGGGUGGUACAGAGCGUCGGCGGCCUGCAAAGUCCGUCCAAUCGCAAAAUCCAUCCUCAGUUCGGACUGGGGUCUGCAACCCGACCCCACGAAGCUGG